rnacentral:rRNA from 1 species
CUAGGUGGCAAUACCUGCUUGUCAAUGUCCAAUCUUGGAAGCUCAGCAAGGCCAGGCCUUAGUACUUGGAUGGGAGACCACUGGGAAUACCAGCUCCCACAUUGG